AAGGAGAGCUUGAUGUAAUCGAUAAUGGGGAAACAUCAUUUGCAGACCUUUUUGCUGUCAAUGUUGCAGAAAGUCCCAAACUUGGUGAUGAAAAGAAAAUGGUAGAUAAAGCUGAAGACAUAAGUUUUAUGCGUGGUUUGGCUGCCUCCUCUGCAAAGAAAAAGAAAACUAAAAACCGAGGAAUGGGUGCUGCUGUCCAGCUGUCUGCAGCAGUUGAAGUUGGAAUGGGAGGGCCAUCAACGUGGGGUGAUGAGUAAUUAUUUUACAAUGUUUAAAGGUUCCAGAGGAUUCAUAAUCAAGUUAAGCCAGUCAAAGGUUCCUGCUUCUCCAUUUCUGCUACAACAUUAUCUGAUUUUCUCAACAAACAUGCGUAAAAAGGUUAUCUGGAUGGCCUGAUGUACCAGUUUUGAACCAUCAGACUUUUAACCAUUUGGAUAAUCAGACUUGCACUCUAUAACUCACAUUACCAAGAUGGCUGAUGUUUACAAUGCAUUUUUCACACUGUUUGAGCUUGACAAUUGUGAACUUUUAAACAGCUUGCAUACUG
rnacentral:misc_RNA from 1 species